UUGCUCUGCUCUCCCUCCAAUUUCAUUCCAGUUAUCUAUAUGUUGAAUGUUCUGAGAAUCCCAGUCUGUAAGAAGUGGAUGAAAAAUUCUGUUGAGGCAGUGUGCACUGAUUGGUGACAUUGGAAUUCAAGCAAACUAUAAAGUCUGAUUGUCUGUAAUACAUCUUAUUGUCCAAGGAUUUCAUCAUUGGGUUCAGCUUCCUGAAGUGAACCAGAGGGACAUCACUGUUUUAUGUGACUUCAAGUAACACGGCGCAGAUCAAGAGAAUACUGGAUAUGAAUAAAUAAGUCACAUAGCAAUUUGCUUCUCAAGACCUCAAAUGUUAUCAUGAGCAAAGUUCGAAGUUUGAUAGCCCUUUGAAACCAAAUGUUUAAAUACAAAAGUUCAACCAUUUGAUCCUAUUAACCUAAUAAGAACGUGGAAUAAUCCAUGUUUGAGCUGGGCUGUUGGAAUCUGCUUCCUCCCUGACGUCGGGCUGGCUGUAUUCCAUGAAGAUUGGCCUUGCAGACCAGGGCAGAUCUUCUCCUGGCUCUUCUUCGACUUGUCACAUGGUCUCCUGCCACAAAUCUUGCUGCAAGUCUUCACUGAGGAGGUGGCUUCGAGAUGUAUGUUUUUAUGCCCUCUCACCCUAGACCUUCCAGAACGUUCUGAAGCUUUUGACUAAUGGGGUCAUGAGCAGGAUUCAAAGUAUCCAAUGGGGUCAGACCAGCCCCCUUCAAUUGUUGCUGUGCAGGGGAGGUGUGAAAUGCACGCCCUCGGGCACUGGCUGGAAGUGAAGGUGGCAGAAAAUCUGAGCGAUACUUCAAUGUAUAACCCUCAGGCUGGUUGUAACUGGUUUCCCCUGAAUUUUUGUGACGUCUUUGACCUUGGUUUCCACUGUUCUCUGUAGCUGAAGGCCACUGUUUAAUUUAAUUCAGUCAAUUUUCUGUCAGGCCGGAUUUCUUUGGCUGUGCAUCAAUUUAGAAAGUCUAAUUUUGAGCCUGUGGUAGGGGUGUGAA